AUGAUAAGAACAAUAAUGAAAAGAAAUAAUGUCUCCUCAUCGAUUCCUGGAGCUCAAAUGGGCGGUAUACCCAAUGGGCUUGGAGGGAAUUCUCCCUGCAUUCCCCAUGAAGGUAAACCAGACCCCAUCCGGGAUUCACAAGAGAGUACCGAGUCUGAUGAAUCUCUCCAUAUUACUCUUCUCAUUGAAACCAUGGCUUGUGAGAUGGCUCGGGAAAAAGUAAGGCCCCCUGUUGAGAUAUCUACAGAUCUAUGCAUGAGUAAAUCGGAAAAAUCUUACUCUGACAUUGUUAAAUCCUCUCACCAGGUGGUGGAUGUGACUGAUCACUGUGAUCUUAGUCUGACAAUCACUAAUGAGUACAAGGUUGAGUCGCUGAUGUUGAGAUGA
rnacentral:rRNA from 1 species